GCACAAUUCAAUUAAACAUCCUCUUCCAGCUUAAUUAGCAAAUCAAUAUAUGUGCAUCAGAACCCAAAAGAUAACAACAAGGCUUUGGGGAUUCUUAAAAAGAACAAGAGUGAAAUUUAAAAGUAUUCAAAUUGUCCUAGAGACUGACACGUAUUUGCAUUUUUUAAGCCUGUCUAUAUUUUUUUAAGCCUGUCAUCAACUAAUUGUAAGAUCAGAGAUGCAUGGGAGUGUUCAGCUUUUCAUUAGUCAUUGCAAGACAACUGCUGUCGAUUGUCCCUUGGCCUUGCUAAGAUGUAGAAUCCAUGGCCUUAAGAUAUCUAGUUGUGCAGUUCCGGACUAGGAUGAGUUGAACUUUAAUCUGAGGUUGUUCACCAUUUCACCAUCUACAU
rnacentral:misc_RNA from 1 species